GCCUACGUAGGCUGGACUCCCUUCCUUCACAAUCAAAACAACAACAGAAAGUCAGCGGGAGGAUCUGAAAGGCCCGAAGGGGCCGCGGGGGGCCGCGGACGGCCGCAUCGGGCAGGCAGUGGCUCAGAACCACAGGACGGUCUGCGCCCGGCCCCUUCCGGCCGCCUGGACCCCGGCCUCCGGCCCCUUCGAACCCCCUAUUCGCCCUCGACCUCCCAGCCCUUCGGCCUUUCCCGGCCCUUGAACCCCGACCUCCGACCUCCUAGACCCCCUCGAGAACCCCAGCCUCCUUCGACCCCCCCUCAACUCCCCGGUCCCCGACCUGCGGGCCCCUUCAGCCUUUCCGGCCCCUUGAACCCCAACCUCCGACCUCCCAGCCAGCUCGAGCCCCCCCCGCCCCCGCAACUCCCGGGUCCCCGACCUCCCGGCCCUUUGGACUCUUCCGGCUCCCUGGAUCCCAACCCCUGGCCCCCUGCCUCCAACCUCCCAGCCUCCUUCGACGCCCCCUCGACUCGCCAGCCCUCGACCUCCCGUCCUCCUUUGACCCCCCCCACCCCACGCCCGACCCCACACGCGGGACACGCCGACCCGCACGACCCCGAGCCCAGAGGCGGCGGCGUUACCUGCGGCGAGGCGGUGGGUCAGGCCCUCUGCAGCAGCGCGCAGACUCAGCAGCUAGGACUCGGAGAGCUCCGCGGGGGGAGGGGCGGAACCCGGACCUGCGGCUGGGGUAGCCGGACCGUCGCGGCCUUCGGAGUCGUCCGGGAUCUAGGCAUGCGCAGAGAGCCGCGGGCGCGAGGGCCUCUUGGCCAGGACACCGAAGUCAACAAGGCCUGGGUACGCCCCCCAUCCGGCUCCGCCCACUAUGGGAUCGCUCCGCCCCCAGGCCCUAACAACGCGAGGCCUUCACAAGGCCUGGACACGGCCGCGGUUGGGAGAGAUCCUGCGAGAGCGGAGGCUCGAAAUGCGACCUCGUUUUCCGUGUUUGGACUCUCCUGGGAGUGA
rnacentral:lncRNA from 1 species